rnacentral:ncRNA from 1 species
GUAAAUUUUAUCAUUUUAUAAAUUUUAUCACACAAGUUUUAUUUUAUGAAUUUUAUCACUUAAGUUUUUAAUUUUUAUACAUUUUACCACCACGGAUGAACAAUGAAUGAUUUUGACUGUUGACAUCGACUGUGGUUAAGUCCCACAACGAGCGCAACCCUCGUGUUUAAUUGUCAAUAUUUAGUUUGAAACCUUGAGUAGACUGCCGGUAAUAAGCCGGAGGAAGGUGAGGAUGACGUCAAGUCAUCAUGUCCCUUAUGCCUUGGGCGACACACGCGCUACAAUGGACGAGACAAAAGAUUGCGAUCCCGCAAGGGUGAGCUAACUCCAAAAACCCGUCCUCAGUUUGGAUUGUAGGCUAAAACUCGCUUGUAUGAAGCCGGUAU